UACGUAGGUGGCAAGCGUUGUCCGGAAUUAUUGGGCGUAAAGCGCGCGCAGGCGGUCCUUUAAGUCUGAUGUGAAAGCCCACGGCUCAACCGUGGAAGGUCAUUGGAAACUGGGGGACUUGAGUACAGAAGAGGAAAGCGGAAUUCCAAGUGUAGCGGUGAAAUGCGUAGAGAUUUGGAGGAACACCAGUGGCGAAGGCGGCUUUCUGGUCUGUAACUGACGCUGAGGCGCGAAAGCGUGGGGAGCAAACAGG
rnacentral:rRNA from 2 species